GAUGAACGCUGGCGGCGUGCCUAAUACAUGCAAGUCGAGCGAACAGAUGAGAAGCUUGCUUCUCUGAUGUUAGCGGCGGACGGGUGAGUAACACGUGGGUAACCUACCUAUAAGACUGGGAUAACUCCGGGAAACCGGGGCUAAUACCGGAUAAUAUGUUGAACCGCACGGUUCUAUAGUGAAAGACGGUUCCGGCUGUCAAUGAUAGAUGGACACGCGCCGUAUUAGCUAGUUGGUAAGGUAACGGCUUACCAAGGCGACGAUACGUAGCCGACCUGAGAGGGUGAUCGGCCACACUGGAACUGAGACACGGUCCAGACUCCUACGGGAGGCAGCAGUAGGGAAUCUUCCGCAAUGGGCGAAAGCCUGACGGAGCAACGCCGCGUGAGUGAUGAAGGUCUUCGGAUCGUAAAACUCUGUUGUUAGGGAAGAACAAAUUUGUUAGUAACUGAACAAGUCUUGACGGUACCUAACCAGAAAGCCACGGCUAACUCCGUGCCAGCAGCCGCCGUAA
rnacentral:rRNA from 1 species